CACGCCGUAAACGAUGUCAACUAGCCGUUGGGAGCCUUGAGCUCUUAGUGGCGCAGCUAACGCAUUAAGUUGACCGCCUGGGGAGUACGGCCGCAAGGUUAAAACUCAAAUGAAUUGACGGGGGCCCGCACAAGCGGUGGAGCAUGUGGUUUAAUUCGAUGCAACGCGAAGAACCUUACCUACUCUUGACAUCCAGAGAACUUAGCAGAGAUGCUUUGGUGCCUUCGGGAACUCUGAGACAGGUGC
rnacentral:rRNA from 1 species